rnacentral:rRNA from 1 species
AUACGUAGGUGACAAGCGUUAUCCGGAUUUACUGGGUGUAAAGGGCGUGUAGGCGGUUUAGCAAGUCAGAAGUGAAAUUCCCGGGCUUAACUUGGGCGCUGCUUCUGAAACUGCUUUACUUGAGUGCUGGAGAGGAUAGUGGAAUUCCUAGUGUAGCGGUAAAAUGCGCAGAUAUUAGGAGGAACACCGGUGACGAAGGCGGCUAUCUGGACAGUAACUGACGCUGAGGCGCGAAAGCACGGGGAGCAAACAGGAUUAGAUACCCUGGUAGUCCGUGCCGUAAACGAUGAAUACUAGGUGUAGGGGGUAUCGACUCCCUCUGUGCCGCAGUUAACACAUUAAGUAUUCCACCUGGGGAGUACGGCCGCAAGGUUGAAACUCAAAGGAAUUGACGGGG